AUAUGACCUGUCCACGGAAACCUAAAUCAUAGCAAAUAAUGAUGAUGAUUAAAUGGAAAGGGUUAAGAAUACUACUUCAAACCAUAAGACGAUGAACUGAUGGUCUGAAUCCACCUUUACAUAAAAGCAUGGUAUUAAUGGAUGCAUACCAUUUAAGACUAUAAAUGUUUACCUUU